AUUGAACGCUGGCGGCAGGCUUAACACAUGCAAGUCGAACGAGUGGCGGACGGGUGAGUAAUGUAUGGGGAUGUGCCUGAGGGAGGGGGAUAACUACUGGGAACGGUUGCUAAUACCGCAUACCAUCAGAUGAACCCAUAUGGGAUUAGCUGGUGGGUAAGGUAACGGCUUACCUAGGCGACGAUCCCUAGCUGGUCUGAGAGGAUGAUCAGCCACACUGGGACUGAGACACGGCCCAGACUCCUACGGGAGGCAGCAGUGGGGAAUAUUGCACAAUGGGCGCAAGCCUGAUGCAGCCAUGCCGCGUGUAUGAAGAAGGCCUUCGGGUUGUAAAGUACUUUCAGUCGGGAGGCGUUACCGACAGAAGAAGCACCGGCUAACUCCGUGCCAGCAGCCGCGGUAAUUC
rnacentral:rRNA from 1 species